AAAAGAAACCAACAGGGAUUGCCCCAGUAACGGCGAGUGAAGCGGCAACAGCUCAAAUUUGAAAUCUGGCCCCUUUGGGGUCCGAGUUGUAAUUUGCAGAGGGAGCUUUUGGCGUCGGUCGUGGUCUAAGUUCCUUGGAACAGGACGUCACAGAGGGUGAGAAUCCCGUACGUGGCCGCCGGCCUUCGCCUUGUAAAGCCCCUUCGACGAGUCGAGUUGUUUGGGAAUGCAGCUCUAAAUGGGAGGUAAAUUUCUUCUAAAGCUAAAUACCCGCCAGAGACCGAUAGCGCACAAGUAGAGUGAUCGAAAGAUGAAAAGCACUUUGGAAAGAGAGUGAAAAAGCACGUGAAAUUGUUGAAAGGGAAGCGCUUGCAGCCAGACGUGCCCGCGGUUGAUCAUCCAGGCUCCAGCCUGGUGCACUCCUCCGCGGGCAGGCCAGCAUCAGUUCGGGCGGUCGGAUAAAGGCCUCUAUCACGUACCACCCCUCGGGGUGGCCUUAUAGGGGAGGCGCAACACGGCCAGCCCGGACUGAGGUUCCGCGCAUCUGCUAGGAUGCUGGCGUAAUGGCGGCAAGCGGCCCGUCUUGAAACACGGACCAAGGAGUCUAACAUCUAUGCGAGUGUUUGGGUGUCAAGCCCGAGCGCGCAAUGAAAGUGAACGGAGGUGGGAACCCUCACGGGUGCACCAUCGACCGAUCCUGAUGUCUUCGGAUGGAUUUGAGUAAGAGCAUAGCUGUUGGGACCCGAAAGAUGGUGAACUAUGCCUGAAUAGGGUGAAGCCAGAGGAAACUCUGGUGGAGGCUCGCAGCGGUUCUGACGUGCAAAUCGAUCGUCAAAUUUGGGCA
rnacentral:rRNA from 1 species